CUUAACACAUGACAAGUACGAACGAGAACGGUAUUAUAGCUUGCUAAUAAUUGUCAGCUAAGUGGCGCACGGGUGAGUAAUGUAUAGGUAAUAUGCCUCUUACUAAGGGAUAACAAUUGGAAACGAUUGCUAAUACCUUAUACUCCUUGUUAACUUAAGUUAAUAAGGGAAAGAUUUAUUGGUAAGAGAUUAGCCUGUAUUGUAUCAGUUAGUUGGUGGGGUAAUGGCCUACCAAGACUAUGACACAUAACUGGUUUGAGAGGACGAUCAGACACACUGGAACUGAGACACGGUCCAGACUCCUACGGGAGGCAGCAGUGGGGAAUUUUCCGCAAUGGGCGAAAGCCUGACGGAGCAAUACCGCGUGAGGGAAGAAUGCCUAUGGGUUGUAAACCUCUUUUUUCAGGGAGGAAUAAAAUGACGUGUACCUGAAGAAUAAGCAUCGGCUAACUCCGUG
rnacentral:rRNA from 1 species